rnacentral:rRNA from 1 species
CCCUGCAACUCACAACUGGCAACCCACUGAAGCUAAGCAGGUGUGAGCCUGGUCAGUACCUGGAUGAGAGACCUCCUGGGAAAAACUAAGGUUGUUGCUGGAA